UUUGUUUGUAUCUGCUGUAUUGUUGGCUGAGAUGGAGUUCAUUUCCCCAUAGCGGCUCUCACAGUGCUGUACUUUGCAUGGGUAGCUAGAAAGGUGUUGAUAACACACCAGUGUUUUGGCUCCUGCUGGGCUCAGCGGCAACA